rnacentral:rRNA from 1 species
UAUGGGAAGACGUGAUGUGGAGUGAAAUAUAGUAACGAAGCCCGUGAGCCAUGCGUCAAGAAAAGCCGCUAUUGUUUAUAUUGUACCCGUACCGUAAACCGACACAGGUGGAUGAGGAGAGAAUCCUAAGGCCGGCGGAAGAAGUAUUGCCAAGGAACUCGGCAAAAUGGCCCCGUAACUUAGGGAGAAGGGGUGCCUGCGAGAGCAGGCCGCAGAGAAUAGGCUCAAGCAACUGUUUAGCAAAAACACAGGUCUAUGCGAAACCGAAAGGUGAGGUAUAUGGGCUGACGCCUGCCCGGUGCUGGAAGGUUAAGAGGAGAGGUUAGACGCAAGUCGAAGCUUUGAAUUUAAGCCCCAGUAAACGGCGGCCGUAACAAUAACGGUCCUAAGGUAGCGAAAUUCCUUGUCGGGUAAGUUCCGACCCGCACGAAAGGCGUAAUGAUUUGAGCGCUGUCUCGGCAAUACAUCCGGUGAAAUUGAAGUGCCAGUGAAGAUGCUGGCUACCCGCGCCAGGACGGAAAGACCCCAUGGAGCUUUACUCCAGUUUGGCACUGGGGUCCGGUGUUGCAUGUACAGGAUAGGUGGGAGGCUGAGAGAUAGUGACGUCAGUUGCUAUGGAGCCGCUGUUGGGAUACCACCCUUGUGAUAUUGGGCUUCUAACCAGCCGCCGUGAACCGGCGGUGGGACAAUGCCAGGCGGGGAGUUUGACUGGGCGGUCGCCUCCGAAAGGGUAUCGGAGGCGCCCAAAGGUUCCCUCAGAAUGGACGGAAACCAUUCGAAGAGUGCAAAGGCAGAAGGGAGCUUGACUGCGACACCGACGGGUGGAGCAGGUACGAAAGUAGGGCUUAGUGAUCCGGUGGUAUUAAGUGGGAAUGCCAUCGCUCAACGGAUAAAAGCUACCCUGGGAUAACAGGCUUAUCACUCCCAAGAGUUCACAUCGACGGAGUGGUUUGGCACCUCGAUGUCGGCUCAUCGCAUCCUGGGGCUGUAGUAGGUCCCAAGGGUUGGGCUGUUCGCCCAUUAAAGCGGUACGCGAGCUGGGUUCAGAACGUCGUGAGACAGUUCGGUCCCUAUCCGGCGUGGGCGUAGGAUAUCUGAGAGGAGCUGUCCUUAGUACGAGAGGACCGAGAUGGACGGACCGCUGGUGGACCGGUUGGCUUGCCAAAGCCAUGGCCGGGUAGCCAAGUCCGGAAGGGAUAAACGCUGAAGGCAUCUAAGCGUGAAGCCCCCCUCAAGAUGAGAUAUCCCAUUCUUUAAGAAGUAAACCCCCUUGAAGACGACGAGGUAGAUAGGGCAGAGGUGGAAGUGUGGUAACACAUGGAGCUGACUGUUACUAAUCGGGUGAGGGCUUGACC